UACGUAGGGUGCAAGCGUUAAUCGGAAUUACUGGGCGUAAAGGGUGCGCAGGCGGUUUUGUAAGUCAGAUGUGAAAUCCCGGGGCUUAACCUGGGAAUUGCGUUUGAAACUACAAGGCUAGAGUGUAGCAGAGGGAGGUGGAAUUCCAUGUGUAGCGGUGAAAUGCGUAGAGAUAUGGAAGAACAUCGAUGGCGAAGGCAGCCUCCUGGGUUAACACUGACGCUCAUGCACGAAAGCGUGGGGAGCAAACAGG
rnacentral:rRNA from 1 species